AUUUCCAACAAGGCCAUCCUCUGCCACGUAUGGGGCUGGAGCCACGGGUCUCUCCAUGUGUACUCUUUGGUUGGUGGUCCAGUCCCUGGGAGCUCCGGGCGGUGUGGCCAGUUGACACUGUUGCUCUCCUCAUGGGGAUGCAAACUCCCUCAGCUCCUUCAGUCCCUUCUCCAACUCCUCCAUCGGGGACCCCGAUGGUUGGCUUCAAGCAUCCACUUCUGUACUUGUCAGGCUGUCAGGAGACAGCCAUAUCAGGCUCCUGUCAGCAAGCACUUCCCAGCAUCCUUCCUGGCAUCCACAAUAGCAACAUAAUUUCUUUCUUUCUUUUCUCUUUCUUUCUUUCUUUCUUUCUUUCUUUCUUUCUUUCUUUCUUUCUUUCUUUCUUUCUUUCUUUCUUUCUCUCUCUCUCUCUUUCUUUCUUUCUUUCUUUCUUUUAGAAAAUACUCAAUAGGUUUGAAAUGACAUAUAGCUUCUUCCAUCUGUGAGUAAGGUUUAAACAUAGUUGUCGUAAGGACACAUGCUUAGAAACUUCAUCCCCCCACCUUUUAAAAAAAAACAGACCUGGCUCUUGGCAAAAUAGUUCUGUUCUUUUUAUUUCAUUUAGUAUGCUAUGAUGCUCUUUGGACAGGGCAUUCCUAAAAAAAUUUCAUCAUUCCCUACUUUAUUAUUGAAAGAAAACAAAAACCAUCAAAUGCCAAUCAAGAUUGUAGUUUCAAAAUUCAAGCUCUAUUUUAUAAAUUCCAAGGAUCAGAGAUAGUCAAAGAACCUUCAUAGGGAUCCUGUAAGUGACUAAUGUAAUUUUUAUUUUUGAUCGGACAUGACAAAUGAGAAUUGUGUCUUUCUCCACUCUAUUACCAGAACCUCAUUAGGACCUGCUGAACACUUGGGCAACUGAUUCAGCUGAGACAUUCUCCAGCAAAAUACAUUAGCAUUACAAAUGCCACUUGCUCUGAACCUAUCUGAAGGAGCAUUUUCUCUCAGAGGUAUAGUAAGAAUUACAUUACCAGUAUAGUUGGUAAGCUCUGUUGAAUAAUUCUAUAGUUUAGAAAAGGAACGUGACCUUUUGUAUCUCCCAGAGGGAUAAUAACAUUACAGAUUAAUUCAAAAUAAAGCUAAUUGGAAAAAGACAAUAGUAACACUAGCUUUACAGAGA
rnacentral:lncRNA from 1 species